rnacentral:lncRNA from 1 species
AACAGAUCAGACUGCUUCACAUUCUUGCCUGCAUUCAGAAAAUCAAAAGAAACCACUGGCAAGAACAUCCACUGAAUGCUAUUUGCAAGAAAUGCAUUAAAAGACAUUCAUCAGUGAAAAGAGAGACUCCAGCUGCCCAGAAAAGCCUGAUGAAGUUCGCAAAGGAGAUGGCAGUGAGGAAGAGUCCAUGUGAGCCUUCUCAUGACCAUAUCACCCCCAUUUGGUGUUAGAACAGAUUUCAAAUUCCUUUGUUUUGUUUUUGUUCCAUGGUGCUUUUUCCCUAAGUAGUGGUUUCUAUUAAAUCCAUAAAAC